rnacentral:tRNA from 1 species
GGGGACGUAGCCCAACGGCAGAGGCACACGGCUUAGAACCGUGACAGUGUGGGUUCGAAUCCCACCGUCCCCA